rnacentral:rRNA from 1 species
AAGACCUUGCGCUUUUGGAGCGGCCGAUGCCUGAUUAGCUUGUUGGUAAGGUAAAGGCUUACCAAGGCUUCGAUCAGUAGCUGGUCUGAGAGGACGGCCAGCCACACUGGGACUGAGACACGGCCCAGACUCCUACGGGAGGCAGCAGUGGGGAAUUUUGGACAAUGGGGGAAACCCUGAUCCAGCCAUGCCGCGUGAGUGAAGAAGGCCUUCGGGUUGUAAAGCUCUUUCAGCCGGAACGAAACGGUUACGGAUAAUACCCGUGACUACUGACGGUACCGGAAGAAGAAGCACCGGCUAACUACGUGCCAGCAGCCGCGGUAAUACGUAGGGUGCGAGCGUUAAUCGGAAUUACUGGGCGUAAAGCGUGCGCAGGUGGUUUUGUAAGUCAGAUGUGGAAGCCCCGGGCUCGACCUGGGAACU